rnacentral:rRNA from 1 species
UACGUAGGGUGCAAGCAUUAAUCGGAUUUAUUGGGCGUAAAGGGCGCGUAGGCGGGUAUUCAAGUCAGAUGUGAAAUCCUGGGGCUCAACCUCAGAACUGCAUUUGAAACUACAUCUCUAGAGGGUAGGCGGAGAAAACGGAAUUCCACAAGUAGCGGUGAAAUGCGUAGAUAUGUGGAAGAACACCAGUGGCGAAGGCGGUUUUCUAGCUUAUACCUGACGCUAAUGCGCGAAAGCAAGGGGAGCAAACAGG